AGUAGUAUGGGAUCACAAAGGUGGAAGGACUAAACAUGUUGAAUUGAUUGGGUUGGUUAAUCUAGAGUUGUAAAUCAUGAAUGUUUGUCUCUUUUAUUCUUGUGAACGCCAGAACCAAGGAGAAGCUUAUAAAAGUGAUAGACAAGUACCUUAAGAUAUUACCUUACUUAAAGAGUGAUGGUACAGUAUGACCUUGUGGAAGCUUUCCUUUCUUAGCGGCUGUGCAUCGUGUUUGUAGCACCCUCCAUGGAUCAUCUCUUGUGAGCUAUGCCUUCCUUGUGUAAAUUGUUAACCUUCAUGUGUCUCUCUCUUUGUCUCCAAUGUGGGUGUAUCUCAGGACUUCCAGGUCAAUAAUGAAAGUUUUCCUGCAGGGGUUAGUCCAACAAAAUAUCCAAUAUCUACUAUAGCAUACUAUCGGCUCAA
rnacentral:lncRNA from 1 species